UAGGAUGGCCGAAAUAAGCAGUGGACUGUAGAUCCAUUUAUAAGGCUUAGAUCUCUUUCCUAU
rnacentral:tRNA from 1 species